AUUGAACGCUGGCGGCAUGCUUUACACAUGCAAGUCGAACGGCAGCACGGACUUCGGUCUGGUGGCGAGUGGCGAACGGGUGAGUAAUACAUCGGAACGUGCCCAGUUGUGGGGGAUAACUACUCGAAAGAGUAGCUAAUACCGCAUGAGAACUGAGGUUGAAAGCAGGGGAUCGUAAGACCUUGCGCAACUGGAGCGGCCGAUGGCAGAUUAGGUAGUUGGUGGGAUAAAAGCUUACCAAGCCGACGACCUGUAGCUGGUCUGAGAGGACGACCAGCCACACUGGGACUGAGACACGGCCCAGACUCCUACGGGAGGCAGCAGUGGGGAAUUUUGGACAAUGGGCGUAAGCCUGAUCCAGCAAUGCCGCGUGCAGGAUGAAGGCCUUCGGGUUGUAAACUGCUUUUGUACGGAACGAAAAGCUUUGGGUUAAUACCCUGGAGUCAUGACGGUACCGUAAGAAUAAGCACCGGCUAACUACGUGCCAGCCGCCGCCGUAA
rnacentral:rRNA from 1 species